AAUAUCGAACCUGGCCCCCUGGCCACGUCUACCUCGCAAACCCGUGGAAGCGAACCGUGCUUCGGCGCCUCGGCGUCGAGUUUAUGCUGCAGUUGGUAGUUUGCGUCUGAAUCAAACCAAAGAACAUAAAACUUUCAACAGAGGAUCUCUUGGCUCUUGUAUCGAUGAAGAACGCAGCAAAGCGCGAAAUGUAGUGAACAUAGCAGCACAAUUGUGAAUCAUCGAAUCUUUGAGCACACAUUGCGCCUCCGGUAGCUCGGAGGCAUGCCUGUCUGAGCGUCAUUUAAAACCAUGGACCCAGGAUUGGGUCCGUAUUGGGCGUCGCCCCCCUCUCCAGAGUGGCACGUGGCCUCAAAGACAUUGGUCUCACAUGCGGACGAGCUCCCCUGGGACAGACCGCGUGGAGACCCUAAGCAUCUGACUUUGAUCUCAGAUCAGGUAGGACUACCGCCUG
rnacentral:rRNA from 1 species